UACGUAGGGGGCAAGCGUUGUCCAGAUUUAUUGGGCGUAAAGAGCGUGUAGGCGGCCAGAUAGGUCGGUUGUGAAAACUGGAGGCUCAACCUCCAGACGUCGACCGAAACCAUCUGGCUAGAGUCCGGAAGAGGAGAGUGGAAUUCCUGGUGUAGCGGUGAAAUGCGCAGAUAUCAGGAAGAACACCCGUGGCGAAGGCGGCUCUCUGGGACGGUACUGACGCUGAGACGCGAAAGCGUGGGGAGCGAACAGG
rnacentral:rRNA from 1 species